CGACCGGCGCACGGGUGAGUAACGCGUAUGUAAUCUACCUGUAACAGAGGGAUAACCCGGAGAAAUCCGGACUAAUACCUCAUAGCACAUAUUAUUCGCAUGAAUUUUAUGUUAAAGAGACUCGGUUACAGAUGAACAUGCGUUCCAUUAGCUAGUUGGCGGGGUUACGGCCCACCAAGGCAACGAUGGAUAGGGGUUCUGAGAGGACGGUCCCCCACAUUGGAACUGAGACACGGUCCAA
rnacentral:rRNA from 1 species